ACACGUAAAUAUGCAAGAGAAGGAAAAUGUAUUAGACAUAUCUUUGCAAAAUGAAAAUGACAAAAAUUAUGAAGAAUUAUUGUUGGACUACCUGAAACUGUUUAUUAUGAACAAUAUAUAAAUAUGCAAAGAAACGAAAAUAUUCCAAAUAUAUCUUUGAUAGACAAUACUGGAAAAAAUUGUGAAGAAAAAAUACAAGUUACUAUAGGGACUUCCGUUUCCGGCGGCGUAAAGUAUAGGAGAGGGUUUCUAGUAGAGUGAAAGGAGGAGAGAAAAGGAGAGUGUAGGGGACAGAAUUGGAGGAGGGGGGAGGAGAGAGUGUGAAGAGAGUGAGCGGGAGUGGAGGUGAGUGGAGGCGAGAAGGGAGAGAGAGAGAGAGUGGAAAGGGGGUGAAAGAUACGGGUGAGAGAGUGAGGUUAGGGACGGCUAGAGAAGAGCAGGGAAAGAGAGUUUAUAGAGGAGAGAAAAAUAAGAGAAAGGAUACGGGCAAGGAGUAUAGGAGCAGAUAGAAGAGAGGCAAGAAGGAGAAGGAACGACAUCUGUAGGAGAAAGGAGGAAGGAAGAAGAGAAAGGAGCGAAGUUUAAAGGAGAGAAAGGGGAAGAUAAGAAUGGAGGAAAUAGGGAAGGAAGAGAGGAGUAAGGGGGAGGGAAGAAAAGGGAAUGGAGGGGAAAAGGGGGGAAGGAGGGAGGGAGAAGAGGGAGUACGGGAAUGAUAGGGGAGUGGAAUGUGGAUAGGGAUGUGGAAAAGAAAAAGAGAGAAGGAGGAAGAGAUGGGAUUUAUGAAAAGUAGGAAGACAGUGAGGUCACCAGUAAAAGGGGAAGAGGAGGGGAGGGAAAGGGAGAAUUCAUUAGAGGAAAUGAAGAAGGAAAUAAGAGGAGGGUUUAAAGAGGUAAAAGAGGAAAUAGAAGGGUUAAGGAAGGAAAUUAGGAGGAGAGAGGAAACAUGGGAGAAAGAGAAGCAGGAGAUGAGGGAUAGGAUAGAGAGUUUAGAGAGGAAAUGGGAAGAGAUAGAAGGGAAGGGAGGGGAAGGGGAGAUGAUAAAAAGAUAGAAGAAAGAGUAAAGAAGGUGGAGGAAAAGAGGGAAAGGGAGAGUAGAAGAGAAGCAGAAGAGAGGAAGGGAGAAAUGGAGGAGAGAGUGAAAGUAUUGGAAAAAAGGGAGGAGGAAAGAGAGAGGGAGAAAAGAAGAAGGAAUAUAGUGAUGAGGGGGGUAGAAAUAGGAAAAGGGGAGGUUAGAGAAGAGGUGGAAAAGAUACUGAAAGAAAUAGGAAUGAAAGAGGGGAUUGGAAAAAGAAUAAGGAGGAUAAAGACGGGAAAGGGGGAUGAGAGAAAUAGUAGUGGUAGAAUUAAAUAGUGAGGAGGAAAAAAGCAGGAUAAUGGAAAGGAAAAAGAAACUGAAAGGAAGCAAAGUAUGGAUAGAAGACGAUUUGACAUAUGAGGAAAGGAGAGCAAGGUGGAUAAUGAGAAGAAUAGCGGAUGAAGAAGAAGGAAAAGGAAGUAGGGUUUGGAGAGGGUAUGGAAAAAUAAGAAUAAAUGAGGAAUGGUGGAGGUGGGACGAAGAAGUGAGGGGAGUGGUUAAUAGAAAAGGGGAAAAGAAAGUAUUGACAGUAGAGGGAGAGGAGAGGAGAGGGAGGGGGAAGGGGAGGGAAAAUGGGAAGGAGGGAAACUAGACGGAGAUAGAAGAGGAGAGGGGAGAGGAGGAAAUAGGAAGGAAAGAGGGGAAGAAGGAAAGAGGGAUUUAAAGGUGACAUUCUGGAAUGUAGCAGGAUUGAAAAAGAAAGAUAGGGAGUUUUGGAGGGAGAUAGAAAAAUGGGAUGUAAUAACGUUAAUGGAAACAUGGAUAGAGGAAAAAGAACAAGCGUGGUUAAGGGGGAAGCUACCGAAGGGAUAUACAUGGAAAAUACAAACGGCGAAGAGAAUUUAUAGAAAAGGAAGAGCAAAGGGGGGGAUGGUAAUGGGAAUAAGGAAGGAAUUAGAAGCGAGAGGGGGGAAGAGGAGGAGAGGGAGGAGAUGGAGGGAGUGAUGGUGGGGAAUGUAAUAAUAGAAGGAAGAAGAUGGAGGAUAAUAGGAGUAUAUGUGAGGGGGGAUUUAGGGAAAAGGUUGGAAAAAUUAAAGGAAUGGAUGGAAGAGGAAGGGGGAGGAAGAACGAUAAUUGGAGAUUUUAACGCAAGGACAGGAAGGAGAGGGGGGAGAAUAUGGGAGGAUGAAGAGGGGGUGGAGGAGAAUAGGAAAUCGAAAGACGAGCAGGGAAAUAAGGAGGGAAAGGAAUUGAUAGAGUGUAUAAAUGAAAGAGGAUGGAUGAUAGUGAACGGAGGGAAGGAAGGAGAUGAGAAAGGGGAAUGGACGUACACAGAGGGAAGAGGAGAAUCGGUAAUAGAUUAUGUUAUAGUAAAUGAGGAAGGAUGGAGCAAGAUAAAAAGUUUUGAGGUGGGGGAUAAUAUAGAGUCGGAUCAUCAUCCAAUAACGGUAAGGAUGGAGAGAGGGAGAGAGAGGGGAAAGAGAGGGGGAGGGAAGAAAAGGAAAGAAAAAGGGGUAUGGACUGAAAGGGCUAGAGAAAGAUUUAGGGAAGAGUUGGGGGAAGUGAGAAUAGGGGAAGGAAAGGUAGAAAAGGAGAUCAAGGAAAUGAAUAAAAGGAUAAAGAGAGCAAUAGUAAGGGAAGAAGAAGAGGGCGAGAAGGAGAGGAGGAAAGGUUGGUGGGAUGAGGAAUGUAGAGAAGAGAAGAGGAAGGUAAGAAGGGAAUUGAGGAGAUGGAGAAGAGGAGAGGUGG